GGGCCAAGGAUUACUUAAAUUGAUAGCCUACCCCUCGCGCUCCAUUUGCAGCGUGCGUCGGGGGGAUGUGUGCUUCUCUUAUAAAUAAAAAUAACUCUCAACAACGGAUGUCUCGGCUCUCACAUUGAUGAAGAAUGUAGCAAAAUGCGAUACUUGGUGUGAAUUUCAGAAUCCCAUAAACCAUCAAGUCUUUGAACAUAAGUUAUGCCCAAAUCCAUUAGACCGAUGGCACAUCUGCCUGGACUUCACACAUCGCGUCACCCCUCGUAUUAUACCUUAAUCACGGGGAGCGCUAUCAUUGCGUUACGGAUAUUAGCUUCUCAUGGACCUCGAGCUCGCGGCUGGCCUAAAUAUGAGUCUGCGUCGAUGGACGUCACAUCAAGUGGUGGUUCUAACUCAACUCUCUUUGCUGUCACGGCUACUGCCCAUCGUGCGUUCGGACACUCGGACCCUAUAGCUCUUAGACACUCCAACCACGAACCCAGGUCGGCAACUGCACAUUGCAAACGUUGGCCUGUAAGGUCCCCAUUCAACCCGUCUUGAAACACAGACCAAGGAGUCUGACUUGUGUGUGGAUAAACGGUUGAGUAAACCGAUAAGGCGCAAGGAAUCUGAUUGGUGGGAUCCCUCUGAGGGGUGCACCGCCUACCAACCUUGAUCUUUUGAGAAGGGUUCAAGUGUGAGCAUACCUAUCGGGACCCGAAAAGUGGUGAACUAUGCUUGAGUGAGGCGAAGCCAUAGAAAACUCUGGUAGAGGCCCGCAGCGAUACUGACGUGCAAAUCGUUCGUCUAACUUGGGUAUAGGGGCGAAAUACUAAUCGAACUAUCUAGUAGCUGGUUCCCUCCAAAGUUUUACUCAUGAUAGCUGGAACUCAUGAGCGAUUUCUAUCAAGGAAAGCCAAUGAUUAGAGGCCUCAGGGGCGCAAUGCCCUCGACCUAUUCUCAAACUUUAAAUAGGUAGGACAGCGCAGCUGCUUUGUUGAGCCACACCACAGAAUCAAGAGCUCCAAGUGGGACAUUUUUGGUAAGCAGAACUGGUGAUAUGGGAUGAACCGAAAGUCAGGUUAUGGUGCCAAACUGCACGUUAACCUAGAUCCCACAAAAGGUGUUGGUCGAUUAAGACAGCAGGAUGAUGGUCAUAGAAGUUGAAAUCCACUAAAGAAUGUGUAACAACUCACCUUCCGAAUCAACUAACCCUAAAAAUGGAUGGCUCUUAAGCGCGCGACCUACACCCGGUCGUUGGGACAAGUUCCAGGCCUCGAUGAGUAGGAGGGCAUGGUGGUCGCUGCAAAACCUUAGGCGCGAUCCUGGGCAGAGCGGCCGUCGGUGUAGAUCUAGGUGGUAGUAGAAAAUAUUCAAAUGAGAACUUUGAAGGCUAAAGAGGAGAGAGGUUCCAUGUGAAUGACACUUGCACAUGGGUUAGUCGAUCCUAAAGGUCGGGGGAACCCCGAUAGUAGCGCAUUUUGUGCAUACUCCAAAAGGGAAUUAGGUUACAAUUCCUGAAUCGAGAUAUGGCGGCUGACGUCAACAUUACGAAGUCUGGAUACGUCAGCGGGAGCCUUGGGAAGAGUUAUCUUUUUUGUUUAAUAGCCUGCCUACUCUGGAAUCGGCUCAACCAGAGGUAGGGUCCAGAGGCUGGAAGAGCACCGCACGCUGCGUGGUGUCCGAUGCUCUCCCCACGGCCCUUAAAAAUAUGAAGGACCAAAAUCCAUCCACUCCCGGUCGCACUCUUAACCGCAUCAGGUGUCCAAGGUGAACAACCUCUAGUCGAUGGAAUAAUGUAGGCAAGGAAAGUCGGUAAAAUGGAUCUGUAACUUCGGGAAGAGGAUUGACUCUGAGGGCUGGGCACGGGGGUCCCAGUCCCGAACCCAUUGGUUGUUGGUGUAUUGGACGAGCUGCUCCCACAGCAAGAGCGGGUUGCUGCGUGCCGACCUGGGGACAUACUGGGAACGGUUCCUUCAAGGGCCUUCCCCGCGCGUCAAACAACCAACUCAGAACUGGUACAAACAAGCGGAAUCCGACUAUUUAACUAAAACAAAGCAUUGCGAUAGUCCCAAUGGAUAUUCAUGCAAUGUGAUAUCUGCCCUGUGCUUUAAUUGUCAAAGUGAAGAAAUUUAACCAAGCGCAAGUAAACAGCGGGAGUAACUAUGACUCUCUUAAGGUAGCCAAAUACCUCGUCAUCUAAUUAAUGAUGCACAUGAAUGGAUUAACGAUAUUCCCACUAUCCUUGUCUACUAUUCUUCCAAAUCACAGCCAAGGGAACGCGCUUGGUAAAGUCAGUGGGGAAAGAAGAGCCUGUUGAGCUUGAAUCUAGUCCGACUUUAUGAAAUGACAUGAGAGCUGUAGUAUAAGUGGGAGCCGAAAGGCGAAAGUGAAAUACCACCACUUUUAAUGUUAGUUUACUUAUUCUAUGAAUUGGAAGCGGGGAACUGCCCCUCUUUUUGGACCCAAGGCUU
rfam:Capsicum annuum cultivar Zunla-1 unplaced genomic scaffold scaffold29505, whole genome shotgun sequence